rnacentral:rRNA from 1 species
CAAUAGCGUAUAUUAAAGUUGUUGCAGUUAAAAAGCUCGUAGUUGGAUUUGUGGUGUACUUCGGCGGCCCGUCACUAUGUGAUGGAGCUUGCUGAAGUCGCCAUCCUUGGGUGGAUCCUGUGUGGCAUUAAGUUGUCGUGCAGGGGAUGCCCAUCCUUUACUGUGAAAAAAUUAGAGUGUUUAAAGCAGGCGUUUGCCUUGAAUACAUUAGCAUGGAAUAAUAAGAUAUGACUUUGGUGGUCUAUUUUGUUGGUUUGCACACCAGAGUAAUGAUUAAUAGGGACAGUUGGGGGUAUUCAUAUUUCAGCGUCAGAGGUGAAAUUCUUAGAUCGCUGAAAGAUGAGCUUAGGCGAAAGCAUUUACCAAGGAUGUUUUCAUUAA